rnacentral:rRNA from 1 species
AUUGAACGCUGGCGGCAGGCCUAACACAUGCAAGUCGAGCGGAUGAAGGGAGCUUGCUCCUGGAUUCAGCGGCGGACGGGUGAGUAAUGCCUAGGAAUCUGCCUGGUAGUGGGGGAUAACGUCCGGAAACGGGCGCUAAUACCGCAUACGUCCUGAGGGAGAAAGUGGGGGAUCUUCGGACCUCACGCUAUCAGAUGAGCCUAGGUCGGAUUAGCUAGUUGGUGGGGUAAAGGCCUACCAAGGCGACGAUCCGUAACUGGUCUGAGAGGAUGAUCAGUCACACUGGAACUGAGACACGGUCCAGACUCCUACGGGAGGCAGCAGUGGGGAAUAUUGGACAAUGGGCGAAAGCCUGAUCCAGCCAUGCCGCGUGUGUGAAGAAGGUCUUCGGAUUGUAAAGCACUUUAGGUUGGGAGGAAGGGCAGUAAGUUAAUACCUUGCUGGUUUGACGUUACCAACAGAAUAAGCACCGGCUAACUUCGUG